rnacentral:rRNA from 1 species
GACGAACGCUGGCGGCGUGCUUAACACAUGCAAGUCGAACGGAAAGGCCCCUUCGGGGGUACUCGAGUGGCGAACAGGUGCGUAACACGUGAGUAACCUUCCCUUGCCUUCGGGAUAACUUCAGGAAACUGGGGCUAAUACCGGAUAGGAAUCCUUGCUGCAUGGUGGGGGUUGGAAAGCUUCGGCGGUUUUGGAUGGACUCGCGGCGUAUCAGCUUGUUGGUGGGGUAGUGGCUUACCAAGGCUUUGACGGGUAGCCGGCCUGAGGGGGCGACCGGCCACACUGGGACUGAGAGGCGGCCCAGACUCCGACGGGAGGCAGAAGUGGGGAAGAUUGCACAAUGGGCGGAAGCCGGAUGCAGCAACGCCGCGGGCGGGAUGACGGUCUUCGGGUUGUAAACCGCUUUCAGCAGGGGCGAAGCUUGUGGUGACGGUACCUGCAGAAGAAGCACCGGCUAACUACGUG